ACCACCAACCCUUUUCAUUAUUCAUCUUUUCUUCAUUCCAUCUUUACCUUAAUUCUAAUUCUCCAAGUAAUUCAAGAAAUUCUUCAAAGCUUGAUCAUAAUAAUAAUCUUCCUUCAUCUAAGAAAUUGAAAAGUGGGGUUUAUGCCUAGUGGUGGUGGCUGAAAUUUUGAGGAAGAAGGAGGAGAAAUUAGGGCUUGAAUUCAUGAUUUUUGUUCUUGAAACAUUAAGGUUGUCCCGGAUGCGGAAGAAAGUAAGUAUUAUAAAGAUUGAAGUUAAAGAUGCUUAAUGGAUAUGGGUUGCUUUGGUUAAAUGCGGAUAAUGGUAUUGGUAAUAGGACCCAUAGUGACCCCUUUGAACUAUCGGCUCUUUGUACACUUGUUAUGUCUUUUGGAGAAUUAUUAUGAUGUCUAGUGUUGGACUCGAGUUUUUGGGUAUUUCAAAUGGGUCGUUUUGUAGUUGUAAUGUAUUGAUUUUGUUUAAACGUGUUUUGGAGAAACUCAUAAUCCGUAACAGGUUUGGAUGAUGAUUUUACGAA